GAUGAAGAACGUAGCGAAAUGCGAUACUUGGUGUGAAUUGCAGAAUCCCGUGAACCAUCGAGUCUUUGAACGCAAGUUGCGCCCGAAGCCAUCAGGUUGAGGGCACGUCUGCCUGGGCGUCACAUAUCGUUGCCCAAUGCCUAUUGCAGUGCAAUAGGAAUUUCUAGGGCGAAUGAUGGCUUCCCGUGAGCGUUGUUGCCUCGCGGUUGGUUGAAAAUCGAGUCCUUGGUAGGGUGUGCCAUGGUAGAUGGUGGUCGAGUUAGAACGAUACCGAUCAUGUGCAUGCUCCCCAAAAUAUGGCCUCUAUGACCCACACGCGUCUUUUGACGCUCAUGACGAGACCUCAGGUCAAGCGGGGCUACCCGCUGAAUUUAAGCAUAUCAAUAAGCGGAGGA
rnacentral:misc_RNA from 1 species